CCCGCGGCUCCCGUGGGCAGCCCUCGGGGACCGGCCGGAGGUGUUCCCCUCCUGGUCUCCCCUCUUCUAUCCGAGCUCGGCAGAGAGAGAUGUAUGUGCUCGUGACAUCUAUCUACGGCAUGUCGCCAUGUCGGGGUCGAUGAUCAGGUCAUUGGCCGGUGAUAUAUAGCCUGAUCAGAUGCGCUCGAUGUCCGGGGAGCGGUGGCAGCGCGCGCGGACGUCGGCACCAGCCAGGGAGACGAUGCCGUCGGUCGCCGAGCUAGUAGGGUAGAAGAAGAAAUAGGUCAUGUUGCUAGCAGCUUCUGUUCAUUUAUUUACUUCUGUCGAUGUUACGGUCUUGCUGUUGUUUGAUGUGCUUUUUUGUACCCUCCUUUUGUGGGCGUAGCUAGGUGUUUCUUGUCGGUGUUAAUCGAGAUCGUUCUUCUGGACCAUCUAUUUACAUCUGUCAUUGGGAA